rnacentral:rRNA from 2 species
UACAGAGGUCCCAAGCGUUGUUCGGAUUUACUGGGCGUAAAGGGUGCGUAGGUGGCGGGGUAAGUCUGGUGUGAAAGCUCCGAGCUCAACUCGGAAAAGCAUUGGAAACUAUCCCGCUGGAGGGUCGGAGGGGAGACUGGAAUUCUCGGUGUAGCAGUGAAAUGCGUAGAUAUCGAGAGGAACACCAGUGGCGAAGGCGAGUCUCUGGACGACUCCUGACACUGAGGCACGAAAGCUAGGGGAGCAAACAGG